rnacentral:tmRNA from 1 species
GGGGCCGCCUAGUUUCGACAGGUAUAGAUUGUUCUCAUUUGCGGGUCGAGCAUGUCGUAAACUCGUUAAUCUUCGACAAAAAUUUAAAAGGCGAAAAAAAACUCGCUCUCGCUGCUUAAGCAGUGACGUUUUAUAUUUCUUCUCCUAGUGAGAGAUAUCAAGCGACAAUUAGCUAGGAUGCAAAAUUUUAUUAUUGCUUUGAUGAUAAAAUUCUAAGUUUAUUCAAAGCUUGCUAAUUGUUAUUGUCAGAUAGUUUCAAUUAGUGCAAUUAAAUCUGACUACACCCGUAGCAGAUUGAGACAAGAAAUAUUCUGGACGUGGGUGCAAUUCCCACCGGCUCCACCA